AAAUUGAAGAGUUUGAUCAUGGCUCAGAUUGAACGCUGGCGGCAGGCCUAACACAUGCAAGUCGAACGGUAACAGGAAGCAGCUUGCUGCUUUGCUGACGAGUGGCGGACGGGUGAGUAAUGUCUGGGAAACUGCCUGAUGGAGGGGGAUAACUACUGGAAACGGUAGCUAAUACCGCAUAAUGUCGCAAGACCAAAGAGGGGGACCUUCGGGCCUCUUGCCAUCGGAUGUGCCCAGAUGGGAUUAGCUAGUAGGUGGGGUAACGGCUCACCUAGGCGACGAUCCCUAGCUGGUCUGAGAGGAUGACCAGCCACACUGGAACUGAGACACGGUCCAGACUCCUACGGGAGGCAGCAGUGGGGAAUAUUGCACAAUGGGCGCAAGCCUGAUGCAGCCAUGCCGCGUGUAUGAAGAAGGCCUUCGGGUUGUAAAGUACUUUCAGCGGGGAGGAAGGCGAUAAGGUUAAUAACCUUGUCGAUUGACGUUACCCGCAGAAGAAGCACCGGCUAACUCCGUGCCAGCAGCCGCGGUAAUACGGAGGGUGCAAGCGUUAAUCGGAAUUACUGGGCGUAAAGCGCACGCAGGCGGUCUGUCAAGUCGGAUGUGAAAUCCCCGGGCUCAACCUGGGAACUGCAUUCGAAACUGGCAGGCUAGAGUCUUGUAGAGGGGGGUAGAAUUCCAGGUGUAGCGGUGAAAUGCGUAGAGAUCUGGAGGAAUACCGGUGGCGAAGGCGGCCCCCUGGACAAAGACUGACGCUCAGGUGCGAAAGCGUGGGGAGCAAACAGGAUUAGAUACCCUGGUAGUCCACGCCGUAAACGAUGUCGACUUGGAGGUUGUGCCCUUGAGGCGUGGCUUCCGGAGCUAACGCGUUAAGUCGACCGCCUGGGGAGUACGGCCGCAAGGUUAAAACUCAAAUGAAUUGACGGGGGCCCGCACAAGCGGUGGAGCAUGUGGUUUAAUUCGAUGCAACGCGAAGAACCUUACCUACUCUUGACAUCCAGAGAACUUUCCAGAGAUGGAUUGGUGCCUUCGGGAACUCUGAGACAGGUGCUGCAUGGCUGUCGUCAGCUCGUGUUGUGAAAUGUUGGGUUAAGUCCCGCAACGAGCGCAACCCUUAUCCUUUGUUGCCAGCGGUUAGGCCGGGAACUCAAAGGAGACUGCCAGUGAUAAACUGGAGGAAGGUGGGGAUGACGUCAAGUCAUCAUGGCCCUUACGAGUAGGGCUACACACGUGCUACAAUGGCGCAUACAAAGAGAAGCGACCUCGCGAGAGCAAGCGGACCUCAUAAAGUGCGUCGUAGUCCGGAUUGGAGUCUGCAACUCGACUCCAUGAAGUCGGAAUCGCUAGUAAUCGUGGAUCAGAAUGCCACGGUGAAUACGUUCCCGGGCCUUGUACACACCGCCCGUCACACCAUGGGAGUGGGUUGCAAAAGAAGUAGGUAGCUUAACCUUCGGGAGGGCGCUUACCACUUUGUGAUUCAUGACUGGGGUGAAGUCGUAACAAGGUAACCGUAGGGGAACCUGCGGUUGGAUCACCUCCUUACCUUAAAGAA
rnacentral:rRNA from 1 species